UACGUAGGUGGCGAGCGUUGUCCGGAUUUACUGGGCGUAAAGGAUGCGUAGGCGGAUAUGUAAGUCAGAUGUGAAAAUCCCAGGCUUAACUUGGGGACUGCAUUUGAAACUGUGUAUCUGGAGCGCAGGAGAGGAAAGUGGAAUUCCUAGUGUAGCGGUGAAAUGCGUAGAGAUUAGGAAGAACAUCAGUGGCGAAGGCGGCUUUCUGGACUGUAACUGACGCUGAUGCAUGAAAGCGUGGGGAGCAAACAGG
rnacentral:rRNA from 1 species